CAGUUCAGAUUGCAGGCUGCAACCCGCCUGCAUGAAGUCGGAAUUGCUAGUAAUCGCGGAUCAGCAUGCCGCGGUGAAUACGUUCCCGGGCCUUGUACACACCGCCCGUCACACCAUGGGAGCCGGUAAUACCCGAAGUCAGUAGUCCAACCUCGUGAGGACGCUGCCGAAGGUAGGAUUGGCGACUGGGGUGGAAGUCGUAACAAGGUACC
rnacentral:rRNA from 1 species